rnacentral:misc_RNA from 1 species
UUUUUGUCGUCCUGGAUCAGUUCAAUUGAUUCAUACUUUGCAUGGAUAAAAGUGAUUUUGUUUGUAUCAAAAUCUUUAUGGAUACUUAAUGGUGGUUGACAUAUUGUUAACCAGAAGCUGUUGCUUAUUAGCAUUCUGAAUAAUUGUUCGAGAUGAUCCAGUAUGCACUAUCUGGCAUCUGUAGGUUAAUCUUGAAGUAGAGAUAUGGAUACUGAUACUGCAAAGGUAUGUCCACCUCAAGUAUUUACUCAUUUUAAUUUUAUUUUGUCAUCAUUUGGCUGUGAAAUCUGCAGACUGCAGUGGAUAGAUCAAGUGAGAAGGUGCGG